ensembl:misc_RNA Metazoa_SRP Metazoan signal recognition particle RNA
GCCGGGUGUGGUGGCGCGCGCCUGUCAUCCCAGCUACUCAGGAGGCUGAGGCAGGAGGAUGGCUUGAGCCCAGGAGAUGCGGGGUGCAAUGAGCCGCGAUCCACUGCACUCCAGCCUGGGGGACAGAGCAAGAUCCUGUCUCAA